rnacentral:rRNA from 1 species
AAUAGAUACCCUGGUAGUCCACGCCGUAAACGAUGAGUACUAGGUGUAGGAGGGUCCAACCUUCUGUGCCGCAGUUAACACAAUAAGUACUCCGCCUGGGAAGUACGAUCGCAAGAUUAAAACUCAAAGGAAUUGACGGGGGCCCGCACAAGCAGCGGAGCAUGUGGUUUAAUUCGAAGCAACGCGAAGAACCUUACCUGGACUUGACAUCCCCUGAAUUACUCGUAAUGGAGGAAGCCCUUCGGGGCAGGGAGACAGGUGGUGCAUGGUUGUCGUCAGCUCGUGUCGUGAGAUGUUAGGUUAAGUCCUGCAACGAGCGCAACCCUUAUCAUUAGUUGCUACCAUUAAAUUGAGCACUCUAGUGAGACUGCCCGGGUUAACCGGGAGGAAGGUGGGGAUGACGUCAAAUCAUCAUGCCCCUUAUGUCCAGGGCUACACACGUGCUACAAUGGUGAGUACAAUUAGAUGCAAACCUGCGAGGGGGAGCCAAACUAAAAAACGUCAUCCCAGUUCGGAUUGUAGGCUGAAACUCGCCUACA